rnacentral:tRNA from 1 species
GGGGAUUUAGCUCAGUGGUCGAGCGCUUGCCUAGCAAGCACAAGGCCCUGGGUUCGGUCCCCAGCUCCG